CAGGAGUCUCAGCUGGAGAAGAAGCUGGCAGAAGUGGACCUGAACUGCCUGGACAUCCUUCCUUCUAAGGAGACAUGAAGAGUCCUCAGCUUUCUGCAUUCUGGAUAACUGGCUAUGAGUAAGAACAGUCACACAUCAGAGUCUACUGCCGUCAUGCGAUGUAAAGUGAGUGAGAGCAGCGAGCCUGUGAGCAUUGUUCAUGCCAGGCAACAGCCGUCAAUGUGGGGGUCGAGCAGACGCCACUGUCAGUGAGAUAAGUGUCUGUUUUGCUGAGGGUUCUGCUCACGGCCCAUAUCAGUUUCUUGCCUUUCUCUGUGUUUCUCUUACUCUCUUCUCUAGUGUGUUGGCCAACACUCUCUGUCUCUGCCCUUGCCUCUCCUUGUGCUGUCUCCCUUCAUAGGACACGGGCAGGAGUGCUGGGUGUGCAUCUCCACAGGCUAGGUCUCAGGAGCUAUGAAGAAGUAGGAGGGGAUGAAAAUCAUGCAGGGUAGUGGGCGCUAGAGUGGAGCGGUGACUGUCAGUGUUGACUCAGUCUCUGUUCAUCUAGUCGGGCUGAUGUAGAUGAGAUGGGAGAGGGAGGCAGGGAUGAGGGCAUUCAUAGAGCUCUGUGUAGUGACAGUUCUUGCUUGGCUUUAUUAGUUUGCAGAGGAAUCGUCCAGGAGCCCCAGCCGGAUGAGAAUGUCAGAAGUGGACCUGAGCAGCCUGGACAUCCUUCUAAGGAAACAAGAAUAGUCCUCAGGUUUCUGCCUUCUGCAUAACUGGCUUACCAAGCAAAAAGACGUCACAUGUCAAAGUCUACUGCCCUUAUGAGUGAGAGUGACGAGACUGCGAGCGUUGUUGGUGCCAGGCAGGAGCCGUCCAUCUGGGAGCGGAACAGCUGCUACUAUCACUGAGAUAAGUAUCUGUUUUGCUGAGGGUUCUGCUCACGGCCCACCUGGCUACAGGUAGAGACACCCCGUUAGGUGGAGUGGGUUUGUAAGAAAAGGUUCCUGACUAGCUGUGGUUUUUAGGGAGACACAGUCCCCAUUUUCAGGGGCUGAUGAUUUCUCUGGCCAGGAUCGGUGUGUCCUCGGCAGGAGAAGGUUAGAUCCAUGAGGAUGACUCCAGGUGGUGAGUUGCUUGCCUUCCUCCUCUGUUUCUCUGUCUUCUCUACUCUACUCUACUCUACUCUACUGUGUUGGCCAACACACUCACACUCUCUCUCUCUCUCUCUCUCUCUCUCUCUCUCGGCUGUCUCCCUUCAUAGGGCACGGGCAGGAGUGCUAUGUGUGCAUCCCCUCAGGCUAGGUCUCGGGAGCUAUGAACAAGUAGGAGGGGACGGAAAUCAUGCAUCGUAGUGGGUGCUAGAGUGGAGGGGUGACUGUGGAUGUUGACUGUCUCUCUUCAAUUGUCCAGAAGCAGCAGCUGAAGGAGAAAGUGGCAGACGCGGACCUGAGGAGCCUGGACAUCCUUCUAAGCAGACAUGAAUGGUCCUCAGAUUUCUGCCUCCCGCACAACUGGCUGUGAGUAAGCGGUCAGUGCUUGGAAUCCCUCAUCUGUACUGGCUCCGGUUUUGUUCAGAGGCUCUGAAUUUCCUCAUUGGACACGGUGCUCUGUGGGAUUCAGACGAGGCAAAGGCACAAGUCUCCUGUGCAGAUGCUGGGUUUAGUACCAAGUGCAGAGUCAGAGUCCACUCCGCACAUGCCAUGGAAAGGGAGCGAGAGCUGGGAGAUUCUAAGCAUUGUUGAUGCCAGGGAAGAGCCAUCCAGCUGGGAGUGGAGCAAGGACCACUGUCCGUGAGAUAAGUGUCUUGUUAGGUGAAGGCUCUGCUGUGGUUAUGAGGGAGACAAGGUCCCUAUUUUCAGGGGCUGCUCAGUCCUCUGGCCAGUACCGGUGAGUCCUCUGCAGCGGAAGGUUGGAUCCAGGAGGAUGACUCCAGGUGACAAGUUGCUUGCCUUCCUCCCGUGUUUCUCAUUUUCUCGCUCUGUCUCUUUAGUGUGUUGGCCAACGCUCUCUCUUAAUCUGUCCUUUCCUUUCCUUGUGCCAUCUCCCUUCUUAGGACACAGGCAGGCCUGCGAGGUGUGCAUCUCCACAGGUUAGGUCUUGAAAGCCCUGGAGUAGUAGGAGGGGACGAAAACCAUGGGGGGUAGUGGGUGCGAGAGUGGAGCAGUGACUGUCAGUGUUGAAUCGGUCUCUGUUCAAGUGGGGCUGAUGUAGAUGGGUGGAAGAGGGAGGCAGGAUUGAGGGCAACAUUUCAAGCACCAUUAGAACUGUGUGUAGAGAUGGCGCAUGCUUGGCUUUUGCAGCUGCAUUUCCAGAGGAAUUGUCCAGGAGCUCGAGCCGGAGGAGAAACUGGCAGAGGUGGAUCUGAGCAGCUUGGACACGGUUCUAACCAGACAGGAACAGUCCUCAGCUUUCUGCCUUCUGAACAACUGGCUGUGAGUAAGCGGAGAAGGUUGGAUCGAGGAGGAUGACUCCAGAUGUUUGCAGAGGAAUCGUCCAGGAGCCCUCGCCGGAGGAGAAUAUGUAGAAGUGGAUCUGAGAAGCCUGGACAUCCGUCUAAGGAGACAUGAAUAGUCCUCGGGUUUCUGCAUAACUGGCUGUUCCUCAUCUGUACUUGCUGUAGUUUCCUUCAUAGGCCGUGUGCUUCCUCCUUGGGUACGGGGCUCUGUGGCUGCGGAGGGGCCAGAAUCUGCUCUGCAGAGUGACUAUGUUGGGUGCCAUUAAGAGGGCCAAUGCAGAGAGGAGAAAAGGGGCCUGAACCCUGAUUACAGGGCGGUCACCCUUUCUUUAGUAAAAUACUCCUCCUUUAAACUUGGUGUGGGUGGGGCGGGAAGUCCCCAAUGUGAAAAGAUCUGGAAAUGAACAGGUAAGGGAGGGAUCCUGCUGAGUGUCUCCUUUCCGAUCAAUCCUCCAUCUCUCAGCGACACCCUUCUGGACUUACCUUCCUACCUCACCAAGAAAAUAACUUGGUGCUCCCUAACCUUUACCAGAAAAGACCCCUCGUCCUUGUGACACAGUCCUGUUAGUAGGGUUAGGUGCACCCACGUGCUGGCUCUGAAUACCACCGCAUGUGAUUACAACACCUGAACAUCAACACAUUUCAGAAAGGACCGCCACAUCAAUCCCUUCGGACGUAGCCCUAGGAAUCUCCUCUGUCUAUCUCCAAAGAGACACAAGGCCUGGAAUUUGGACACAGCUGAGGGAGCUGUCCGAAUGUCUACAGUUGAACACUCAUCAGUGCGACGGUGUCUUUCUUGUGCACAAGAAAACAAAGGGUCAAAGUUGUGGUUGGUUGAGCGGUGUAAGUUGGGCAGGGGAAAAGGACUUGAGGAAGGAUGAGGUGGAAGUGAGGGUCUGAAAGGAGCCCCCCACCUCACCUGUUCAUUUCCAGACGGUGUGACAUUUGCAUGGUUGGGCCAUUUCUUGGCUUUUUUGAGAAAAGGGGCGAAUUUUCCCACGGCUUCCACCAUCCCCCACAGCUGCCCCUUCGCCACACUAUGUUGCAUCUGACCUGGAUAGGUCGCAAGUAAGAUUUCACUUCAAAUCUCAAAAAAGUCCAGUAGAAAUAAUUGUGGGGGAAUUUCCUGUCACUAAGAGAAAGGGAAGCUCAAGCCUUCUCAAGGGGUGGGGUGUCGCUCAGCCACAGGCACAAAAAGGCUCCCCUAGUUUAAGCGUGCGAGGGAUAAGACCUUACACCCUGGUUACAGGGCAGUCAUUUUGCCCGGCGUGUCAAAGUGACCUGUGGUUUAAUUUGCUUGGCAAAGGAGACCCAAACCUUCCUUACAGGGUGGUCCUUAAGCCAGGGGCGUUCGAAUGGGGCUGUAAAGGAGAGACCUCCGUUCCCUCAGGAGAGCGUGGUCUCAUUGCCCAGCAAGUGCCAGCGGCCCAAGAGGAGCUAGAAAGGGGAGACCUGCACCCUUCUCACAGGGAUUGGUCAGUGGCAAAGAGCGUUUUAAAGGCUAGGUCCUAAGGAGCUCAAAGCCACAGAGACUUUGUGGUGAUCUGUGUGUAAUGUAAUAUCUCAUUGUAAGGUGACAGGGCCAGCAAGAGUUAAUUAACUCACAAACUGACCUUGACCCAUGGCCGAACUUUAAAGACUGGUUACGAAGAUCUGUAAAGGAAUAGAGGUUUGAAAUGCAGCCUGCAUUGUUAGAGAUAGAAGGGUAAAUGUUAGCUCGGGUCUUGUCUAUUGCUAUAGCUGUGAUUCAAAGAUCAAAAAAGCAAUAUUAAUAUUUAGGAAGACACUGGAGUGAGAUAGCGUUAUUGUCUAUAUCGGGGACGGCAACCUUUCACAAGUGGUGUGCCGCGUCUUGAUUUAUUCACUCUAAAAUGUAUUACUGGCACGCAAAACCUUAAUGUUUUUCAGAAGGGCUCUUUACUGUCUAUCUCUAUAUAUUAUAUAACUAGUGUUGUAU